CAGAUACCCAGAUGAAGCCUCCAAAUAUAACCAGCCUACAGAUUUGUUGGAUUUUAUGCAGAAAAACUCUGACUUCCCUGGACUGAUUUCCUCUUGACUUGGGACUGUCCUGUCUGCCUAAUCCUUGGGAGAGGCUGGACUCUGGUCCUUCCCUGGCGGUCCUGUCCUGCAGUCACCCAGGAAGAAUGCAAGAAAGGAGGACCACAUUCUUGGUGGAUGCAGACCUUCUGGUUCUGAUGAACGUUUCCAAUAUCAGACGUGAGGCACCUUCUUCCCAUUCCUCAUUCCUCAUCCCUCUUUGUGUCUGACAAGCAAAGAGAAUACCUCCCAGGGAAGUGGUCAGGGUACCGUGAGACGGGAGCCACAGGAAUCCUGCAUGUGAACAUGUUGCCACGGACCACAGAGUUUAACAUCCCGCCAGAUCUUUGCAAAGACGGGAUAAGAUUAGUGUGCAAGAAGCCCUGAGUUCCCUGAAUUAUCUGUCCUUAGGUCACCAAGGUCUUGAAGGGUGUGGAUAUAAUGGAACUUCACUUUUUUUCAAGAACUAUAUUAUGGCAAAACACAGACAUUUUCUUAGGUUACAGAACUCCUUACUCAAGGAAGAAAACCAAGGAAGAUGAUGCCGAGACUAGAUUUUAUCAAAAGCCUAAUAGUCAUGCAUAGAUUAAUAGGUGACACUUGACUUGAGUAAAAGCAGCUAUCCUUGGUUUAGAUGAACACAGAAGUUGAAAGGUUUCCUGAAAAAAGAGAAAAAUAAAGACCUUAUUUUUACCUCAGACCUGAAUUUGACCAACGUGACCCUAUCAAACCAUUUACACCCACGGACGGCCAUUUUCUUUGAAUGGUUUUGGAAAGACACCCUCUUCAGGUCAGGAGAAGAAAAAAGCAAAGAAGUUAGCUACUUUUAUGUGGAAAACGGAUGCUUCUUUUGAUAGAUAAAACAGAGGAAGAGGAGUAUUUACAUUGUCU